CAUUAAAGGAAAAUUACCACGCCAAAGUUUUAGUAAGCCAUAAAAAAGUUAUGAACAAUAAAAAAAAGAGAAAAUCAAAUGGUGAUGGAAUGGAAGGAUGGAAGUAAGAAAACUUUCAAGUCUGGUAUCCAGGAAAAAGAUUUUCCGAGAAGCAAUGGUAGUGGUGAGGUCGGUGGUGGUUGGGUUUUUGCCAUAUACUUCCAACAAACCACCAAACAGGACAAGCCCCAUCUUAAACUGAAUGAAUGACGACGACGACAACAUAAUUUUCAUGAGCCAUCAUAAAACUGAGUCCCCCAAAAAAUUCCACCAAAAAAGAAUGGUUAUAAAAAUUGCUUUCUUUGUCUUUUCUCCAACCGCAGAAAAAUAUGACCAAAUGAUAUACGUAAAUAAAACCUCAACUAACAUCGACUCGAAGAUGAA